GAGAGUUAAACAGUACGUGAAAUUGUUGAAAGGGAAACGAUUGAAGUCAGUCAUACCAACGGGAAAUCAACCUCUUGAGUUUGGUCUCGUGGGUUUCGAAGAGUUUAAAAGCCUUCGGAUUUUCGAGAUUGGGCUCUUCUGGUGUACUUUCUCGUACGGUUAGUCAACAUCGGUUUUGAAUGUCAUAAAAUGACUGGAGGAAUGUGGCUUCGAUCUCGUAUUGAAGUGUUAUAACCUUUGGUAGAUGUGAUGUUUGAGACCGAGGAUUGCAACGGAUACCCUUCUGGGCUAUUCGUCUGAUCUCUGAAACGUUGCCUUGAUGUCGAAAGCUUGCUUAUGAUGUUAGGGUAUUACGGUCAAAAGGUUAGAACGGAUUAAAUUCGUUAAGGAUGUUGACGAAAUUGUUUCCUCCGA
rnacentral:rRNA from 1 species